rnacentral:ribozyme from 1 species
UGCCUAGCAACUCCUAAUCUACCUCCUCGUGGUACUGGCUGGAGUACGAGUAACCUUACGGAAGAGAGGG